GCUGGCGGCAUGCUUAACACAUGCAAGUCGAACGUGAAAGCACUUCGGUGUGAGUAGAGUGGCGGACGGGUGAGUAACGCGUGGGAAUCUGCCCAGUAGUGGGGGACAACUACCGGAAACGGUAGCUAAUACCGCAUACGCCCUAUGGGGGAAAGGCUUCGGCCGCUAUUGGAUGAGCCCGCGUCAGAUUAGCUAGUUGGUAGGGUAAAGGCCUACCAAGGCAACGAUCUGUAGCUGGUCUGAGAGGACGAACAGCCACACUGGGACUGAGACACGGCCCAGACUCCUACGGGAGGCAGCAGUGGGGAAUAUUGGACAAUGGGCGAAAGCCUGAUCCAGCAAUGCCGCGUGUGUGAAGAAGGCCUGCGGGUUGUAAAGCACUUUCAGUUGGGAAGAUGAUGACGUUACCAACAGAAGAAGCACCGGCUAAAUCCGUGCCAGCAGCCGCGGUAAUACGGAUGGUGCGAGCGUUAAUCGGAAUUACUGGGCGUAAAGCGCGCGUAGGCGGCUAAGUCAGUCAGAAGUGAAAGCCCCGGGCUCAACCUGGGAAUUGCUUUUGAUACUGCUUGGCUAGAGUUUGGUAGAGGAUAGUGGAAUUCCAGGUGUACCGGUGAAAUGCGUAGAUAUCUGGAGGAACAUCAGUGGCGAAGGC
rnacentral:rRNA from 1 species